UACGUAGGGUGCGAGCGUUGUCCGGAAUUAUUGGGCGUAAAGAGCUUGUAGGCGGUUUGUCGCGUCUGCCGUGAAAAUCCGGGGCUCAACCCCGGACUUGCGGUGGGUACGGGCAGACUAGAGUGUGGCAGAGGAAGGUGGAAUUCCACGUGUAGCGGUGAAAUGCGUAGAGAUGUGGAGGAACACCGAUGGCGAAGGCAGCCUUCUGGGCCAACACUGACGCUCAUGCACGAAAGCGUGGGGAGCAAACAGG
rnacentral:rRNA from 1 species